GCUUCGUCACAGCUCACGGUAAUCACAGCUCUCCUGGCUUUAGAUCUGUGGAGUGUGGAACAGUCGAAAUUUAAGUCUUCAAAACCUGCAUGUUCAGAGCGUCAAUAUCAUCGGUGUCCUGUAGUUUUGAUGGUAUUGCUGUUCGCUUGCUGCGCCGUGAGAGAGAAGCAGAGGAAACAGUGUGUGAUUAAGCCCGUCGGUUAUGACAAGAGGUGUUUUGCUCACGUUGGUGUACUGGGGACCUCGGACCCUGGACCCGACGGAUGGCUCCCUGCGGGCAGACAAG
rnacentral:lncRNA from 1 species